rnacentral:lncRNA from 1 species
GCGGAAGUGGUGCUUCUCUGAGCCAGGGAAGCUGGAUCGCGUGGGUCGAGGCGGUGGAUCUGUGGGGGGAUGUUCGAGUGACGCCUGCUCCAGCUCUGGCUUUGCCGGGCCCGAGCCCCAGGAGCGCAGGGUGCUGGCAGAGUUGGAAGAUCACCAGAUCAGAUGGCUGCCUGAGACGCAGCCUCGAGGCACAGAGGAUCCAGAACCGCGGUCCCUGAAGUUCGGUGACGCCCAUAGGCCUUCCAGUCGGAGUCGGAGCGCUUCAGGCGAAGUCUUGGCUCCCUGGGGAGGUUCAGGAGGGGUCACGCCCGUUGUUCAGGUGUGGAAGAUAGGCUGCAGGCUUGGGGUAGGGGACAUCUGGGAAAAUGAAAACUUGAGCUACAUUUCAAGCAACUGUUUGCCUUUCCAGGUUGCUCCCCAAGGAGCAGAAACCCCCAGACUGUUGUUUCAGACCAAACUUUCCAGGUGAGAGAUAUGCACCACCAGGGGACCAGAAGUUGGAGAGAAGCAGUUUUCAUAGCUCUUGUCCAAGAAAAGAGAGGGCCCAUCACCUACCCUCAGUUUGGGCCUUCUGAUUUUGUCUUUUACAAACGACAUCCCUUACUAUUCCCCCCACCUCCUGCUGUGUCUUCUGGUGCAGCACCUAGAGCUUCCUUUCUGGUCACGGUAGUCAGUGUGGGGUCCCUUCCUCCAGGUUCCUGACUCAGAAGGAAGCUGCAGUGUUGUGUCCUGCCGAGUGCCUCCAGAGCAGUCCUGCAGGCCAUGAACAGAGGGUCUCAGAGACAUGCCUUGGGUCUGCCCGACUCCCUUCCCUUCCUGAUGAUGAAGUUUUCCUGGAAGACGUCCCUUUGGUCAGAAUGAGAUCACCUCCAGACACCCAUGCGCCCACAGGAAACCCAACCAGGUGAGUUGCCUCUUGCUUCCAAGCUGAAUGAGAUACCUCUUUCCCACACAUAACAAGAAAAUUCUAGAGGGGAAUGGAACCUUCUCCAGCCUGGCAGCCUGGCUUGUGGGGAUGGAGACAGGUGGCCCUUGGAGGCCAGUGCUUGUCUUUGGACAGAGUUUUUUCUUAUUCAUUGUCUCUUCCACUUCCAGUGUCCAUGUCUCUGACCAGCAGUAUGAAACCGGCUUGGGCCAGGGGGUUGACCAAGCUGGAGUCCCCCCAGAGCACCCCCUCCAUGAGCACCCAGAGACUGCAGGGGCAGAUGACAGCUGGCGGAGGAUAAAUGGUUCUGUGAGCAUUUCCAGGACUACAUGCUGUAGCCCCCCUGGGACUGCAAAUGGUGACAUUCCAACCUUCAACCCCACUGGACUGCUGACCAUUGACCCACUUGCAGCUACAGACCCCCUCAAACCUCUUCCAGUUGAUGUCCUGGAACCUCCAGGCAACAGUACCCCAGGUGCUCCUGGCCGUACUUCCCUAGCUUGGGGCACUGGCCAGCCUGUUUCCAGGCCAACAUGGCACAGUCUGCGCCUUGAGGAGGUGGUUCAGGAGCUGGCCAGACUGGAUCCCUCUAUGAGUGACACACUCACUUCCUGUCCCAGUCCAGAGCCACCCCUGGGUCUGCUAGAUGGGCUGAUUCCUUUAGCUGAGGUCUGGGCUGCGAUGAGGCCAGCCGGUGAGGAGGCUGGAAAGGACGCUGCUGGUACUCCUGAGCCAGGGUGAGUGUGGGGGGUACUAGGGACUAGGGGGAUUCUAAGUCCCUGCACUCUGGUGGGUGGCGGGGAGGAUAACCCAGGGAGCUCUGGUUUUGUACCCAGGUGCUAUCUAUUUAGCUCCAGCCAGCUCUGGCCAACUUCUCAGGAGAUGAGGUCUGAAAN